UUAGAAGGGAGGGGGCAGGCAACACGAGAUGGGUGGGUUUUGACCUUGGCUGCACAUUUAGCUCACCUGAGGGAGCUUUCACAUUCCGCCCCUCCCCCCGCUCACCCCAUGCCUGGGCAUCGCCCAGGGAUUCUGAUGUAACUGACCUACUUUGGGAUACAGUUAGCAGAGUUUUUUAAAAAGUGAGCACCACCACUUGAACGUUUAGGCCUGGCCUGAGGAGACACUGACACAACCAGGGCGAGAUACCCAACACCGUUGGACGCCCACAACAGAGGACUGAGAAACAGACCCACACCCAGCCUCAGGACCUGGGAGGGAACUGUCGGUGGGCACCUCGUUGGUUCACCCUGCCAUCCGAUAGGACAGUGCUGAACUCAGCCCCCCAAAGAUGGAGGAAGAAAUCGAGCACAUGGUACCCCAAAGGCUGCAAGUGUCCGAGCACAGAUGUCUGAAAACACACAAAUGUGAAACAGCAACAGUGAAUUUGGUGAUCUGCUCAAAUCCUUCGUUGGGCUUUUCUCAGCUGGGGAAGAUUUUACUGCACAGUGAUAGUAUUUUUGGAUCUUUGAUUAUAUCAAAAUAAAUUUUAAAAACUCCUGCUCAA